GGAAUUUUGCGCAAUGGGGGAAACCCUGACGCAGCAACGCCGCGUGAUUGAAUAAGCCCUUCGGGGUGUAAAGAUCUGUCAGUGGGGACGAAACUUGACGGUACCCACAGAGGAAGCAUCGGCUAACUCCGUGCCAGCAGCCGCGGUAAUACGGGGGAUGCAAGCGUUGUCCGGAAUCAUUGGGCGUAAAGAGUUCGUAGGUGGUUUGUAAAGUCAGGUGUUAAAGGCGUAGGCUCAACUUACGUAUGGCACUUGAUACUUGCAGACUAGAAUGCGGUAGAGGUAAAGGGAAUUCCUGGUGUAGCGGUGAAAUGCGUAGAUAUCAGGAGGAACAUCGGUGGCGUAAGCGCUUUACUGGGCCGUAAUUGACACUGAGGAACGAAAGCCGGGGUAGCAAAUG
rnacentral:rRNA from 1 species